AUUGAACGCUGGCGGCAGGCCUAACACAUGCAAGUCGAACGAGUGGCGGACGGGUGAGUAACGUCUGGGAAACUGCCCGAUGGAGGGGGAUAACUACUGGAAACGGUAGCUAAUACCGCAUACCAUCGGAUGUGCCAAGAUGGGCUUAGUUAGUGGGUGGGGUAAUGGCUCACCAAGGCGACGACCCCUAGCUGUUCUGAGCGGAUGACCAGCCACACUGGAACUGAGACACGGUCCAGACUCCUACGGGAGGAAGCAGUGGGGAAUAUUGCACAAGGGGCGCAAGCCUGAUACAGCCAUGCCGCGUGUAUGAAGAGGGCCUUCGGGUUGUAAAGUACUUUCAGCGAGGAGGCGUUACUCGAAGAAGAAGCACCGGCUAACUCCGUGCCAGCAGCCGCGGUAAUUC
rnacentral:rRNA from 1 species